GGGGUCCCAUCCUUAGCCCCUGAUGGGACCAGCCCAGCCUCAGUUCCUGACCCCCACACCCUCUGGGACUUGUGGUUAGAGACUUGGUCGCUGGAAGUUUGAGUGAUGACACCUGGGCCACUGUGCUGACAACCGCUCCGCCCUCCACCAACCCAAGCGCCAGAAAGUUUCAGCGUGGGGCAAAGGUGUUGGAAGGCAGCAGCAGAUGGACCACGUGCUUGGAGCCCUGCCACCCACAUGAGAAAGACCUGGAUGGAGGUCCAGGCUCCCGGCUUUGGCUUGGACCACCCUGGCUGGAAAUGGAAAGGUAGAAGCUGUCUCUCCCUCUGCCUUUCAGAAUAGGGAUGACAUGGAGAAGUGAGAUGACACCUUAGUUGCCUGGAGUCAUGUUGGCAAAUGGUGAAGGAGAAUUUAUUUUCCAGGCCAACCAGAGUGACUGAGGAAGCCAAACAAGACAGGAGCCUACCAGAGAGGGAAGCUGGGCCAGAUUAUAAAGUUAAAUUGAACUUGACCCCAGGGCGAAUGCUUCUGAUGUGUCUGCCUCA